rnacentral:lncRNA from 1 species
UCUGAGCUUUGAUCAACGCUCUGACUGAUAUUUGGAUAGUGACCCGUAAAUUAUUUUCUUUAUUUUAUAUUUUUCAAAUUAGAAAAAAUACAUAGGUCCGGACCUGUGUCCUCCAUAUGUACACUGAUCAAAAAUGUAAACGCAACAUCCAACAAUUUCAAAGAUUUUACAGAGUUACAGUUAAUAUAACGAAAUCUGUCGAUUGACAUAAAUUCAUUAGGCCCUAAUCUAUGGAUUUCACAUGACUGCGAAGACAGAUGUGGAACUGUUUGUCACAGAUACAUAUAAAACAAAGGUAGGGGUGUGGAUAAGAACCAGUCAGUAUCUGUUGUGAACACCAUUUGCCUCAUGCAGCACGACAUCGCCUUCUUAUAGACUUGAUCAGGCUGUAGAUUGUGAAACAUGCUGUCAUACAUGUCAAUCCAGAGCAUCCUAAACAUGCUCAAUGGGUGACAUGUCUGGUGAGUAUGCAGGCCAUGGAAGAACUGGGACAUUUUCAGCUUCCAGGAACUGUGUAGAGAUCCUUGAGAAACGUGGCUGUGAAAUAUCAUGCUAAAACAUGAGGUAAUGGUGGUGGAUGAAUGGCACGACAAUGGGCCUCAGGAUCUCGUCGCGGUAUCUCUGUGUAUUCAAAUUACCAUCGAUUAAAAUGCAAUUGUGUUUGUUGUCAGUAGCUUAUGCCUGCACGCACAUACCAUAACCCCACUGCCACCGUGGGGCACACUGUUCACAACGUUGACAUCAGAAAACCGCUUGCCCACGUGACGCCAUACGUGCUGUCUGCCAUCUGCCCAGUUCAGUUGAAACCGGGAUAUGUCUGUGAAGUGCACACUUCUCCAGCGUGCCACUGGCCAUUGAAGGUGAGCAUUUGCAGCAGGAAGGUGAGUGCCGUCUGGUAGCCAUGACUGCGGUAGAUGGAACUGCAUUAACCCCCUGAAGUUGGACGCCAAACUGCAGUCAUGGCAAGAAUAUGGUGAUGACGAAGAGCAGUGGAGGUUUUCUUCAGUUGUGCAAACCCACAGUUUCAUCAGCUGUCUGGGUGGCUGGUCUUAGAUGAUCCUGCAGGUGAAGAAGCCGGGUGUGGAGGUCCUGGACUGGCGUGGUUACACGUGGUCUGUGUUUUGUGAAGCCGUUUAGUACACCCAGUAAAAUACUACUUGAAUACAAAUAUUUGUGGGGGGGGAGAGAGCUCCGACUGGGGAAAAAUCGCUUUGAAGCAGCAUACAACUCGGAAUUCCAAGAUGGAAACAAUGGCAUCUUUCUAGUUUUCCGACUUGAAGAUCACUGACGUCAUGUUUUUUUCCCGACGUCCCAGUUGUCUUGAAAGCACCAACUGCCUGAUUGUUGACUGAUGACAUUAGUGGUAACUGAUACACAAAUCAAUGUUGAUAUCUAUUAUAUUGACUGUCAUGUGACAUGUCUAACAAAGAGAUGGUCAGAUGAUGCUGUAUCUGUCCCUCCCUGUGACCAUGUUCUGGAUCUCCAACCAAGCAGAGUACUUUGAAGAAUAUAUUGUGAAGAGGAAGAGGGAGAUUUUCCCACCUGAUGAGAAGAUGCAUAGGAAAGAGCUGGAAUACUUCAAAGAGCGGAUGCGAGACCGGAAGGAGCGGCAGCUACUGAAACGGAUGGCCUUGAAUGAGGCUGAGAAGGAGUGAGGAGGACAGUUCAGAGAGGCAAUCAGAGUAGGACGAUGCCCAAUCAGAAGACUUGCUGUUCCACAGGAGCGGGAGCAGUCUCACUGUCAGGCCUGUGGACUGGAACAUGUGCCCUCUCACAAAAGGCACCUUAUUACCUAUUUAGUAUACUACUUUGACCAUGGCCCAUAGGGCUAUGGUAAAACGUAGUGCACUUUAUAGGAAAAAGGGUGCCAUUUGGGGUUGGAGGAUUUUGGAUGUCGUGGAGCAUGUAGGCUAUACUAUACACCCUUUGAGAGGGUGUUCUGGAGGGGGACCUUAAAGUUACCCCUUUGAACUGAAGUCUCACUGAAAAGCUUUUUAUGAAAUGCUUUAUUUCACUGCAGUCAAACCAUGACUUGACUGUUGAUGAUCUGCUCUGUGAUGGUUUUGAUGUAAACCUUGUGUGUGUGUGAAUGAAAUAUGAGGACAGAAUCAUAUGGCUUGGAAUGUUAUUUAUUUUUUAUGAUUUAGAAUACGUCUUUUGUAAAUGGUUGUUUCAACUCUG